rnacentral:rRNA from 1 species
AGAACGAACGCUGGCGGCAGGCUUAACACAUGCAAGUCGAACGCGUGUAGCAAUACACGAGUGGCGCACGGGUGAGUAACGCGUGGAUAUCUGCCUUUUGGUUCGGAAUAACCCCGGGAAACUGGGGCUAAUACCGGAUGGUUCCUACGGGAUAAAGAUUUAUCGCCAAAAGAUGAGUCCGCGUACGAUUAGCUAGUUGGUGAGGUAAUGGCUCACCAAGGCGACGAUCGUUAGCUGGUCUGAGAGGACGAUCAGCCACACUGGGACUGAGACACGGCCCAGACUCCUACGGGAGGCAGCAGUGGGGAAUAUUGGACAAUGGGGGCAACCCUGAUCCAGCCAUGCCGCGUGAGUGAUGAAGGCCUGCGGGUUGUAAAGCACUUUUAGUGGGGACAAAAGCUACGGAUUAAUACUCUGUGGUCUUGAUUUAACCCAAAGAAAAGCACCGGCUAACUCUGCGCCAGCAGCCGCGGUAA